GUGCACCAGUCGCGAAUAGUCUACAAUGGACGAAAGUCUGAUAGUGCGACGCCGUGUGUGCGAUUAAUUCCUUCGGGAUGUAAAGCACUUUUCUAUGAGAUAAAAGCUCUUUAGGUUAAUAGCUUAUUGAGACGGAUAUUAUUAUAGGAAUAAGCUCCGGCUAACUCCGUGCCAGCAGCCGCGGUAAUACGGAAGGAGCGAGCGUUGUCCGGAUUUACUAGGCGUAAAGGGCUAGUAGGCGACUAAUUAAGUUAUAUGUUAAAUCCCACGGCUCAACUGUGGUCCUGCAUGUAAUACUGGUUAGAUAGAGUACUGUAGAGGAAGGCAGAAUUCCUGGAGUAGCGGUGGAAUGCGCAGAUAUCAGAGAAUACCAAAAGCGAAGGCAGCCUUCUGGGCAGUUACUGACGCUGAAUAGCGAAGGUGUGGGUAGCGAACAGGAUUAGAUACCCCUGUAGU
rnacentral:rRNA from 1 species